rnacentral:lncRNA from 1 species
UGGAAGACGCCUUUUCUCACCGGAUCUAACAUAGAUAAAUGAUUCUUCAUGAGCAAAUUUCAGAGAAAAUAUAAAGCAUGGAAGGUUUUAAGUUGUACUAUUGAGACCAUACCACCAUAUCUUCUUUUAGUUUCUUUGGAAAUCUAAAGGUCUAAGAGGACGGUACAUGUGAGAAGCUGUGAAUCCACAACAAAAAACUAAACUAACUUCCAACAAACAUUUCAAGUUUGGAAGCCAGAAAGAAGCAGCCCAGAUCUCUCGUUGUAGUGCAGGUUCAAGAAAAUGGGCCGAAUGACCAUCACAGCAACAUGUAGAAGCAGCAAAAAUAUAGGCUUGGUGUGUAACUGAUCAUGAAAGAUAGUUUGAUCAGUUUCUCCAUUGUUGGCUUAUACUGAGCAAGAACAUCAGCCUGCAGAGAAGAAAAAUGGAGGACUGCUUUAUUCUGCGGUACAUCCACAAUACUACAGCAAAUAAAGUAGUUAAAUGUGUGCUAAGAUGUAAGACCUUUUAGAUCACUAUUUUAGUGAUGUAAAAAGUAAGCGGUGAUCUAAAAGCUCUUGUAUUAGUUUGAAGUGGGAGUACUUAAUAAGACUGUAAGCCAGUACAUCAAAGUAAUGUCGGCUUCCCAUUGAUUUGAUCAAACCAAUAUGACAAAGGGAAGGUGAAACUUCAGAAGACCAUAUAAAUUGAAAGCGAUGUCUUAAUUUGAAACUCUGAAAUGAAGUAAUAAACAUUAAGUCUAAAUGUUGUCACUAAAAAAGCAUAAAAAAGGCUGACCAGCCAACAGUGCAUCAUAAUUAGUGGUUCAUCAUGGGCAAACCAGGCAGCAGUAGCCUAAUAACUUAGACGGAAAAAAUGCAAGAAGUCAAAGCACAAGGUGGGAAAUAGGACCGAGCAUUGACAGGUAACCAAAUAAUGAAGGAAUAUCCCCAGAGGAUGCAAGAAGUGAGAGAGGAGCACCUAGCAGAGGUUUGUGGACUACCUCUUUAUGCCACACCAUAUCCACAUCCCUAGCGCUUGACGUACUUGCUGCUAUUGCCAUCUCUACCUUAUUUCCUCCAUUGCCGGUUCGUGGACUACCUCUUCAGGACACGCCGAAUACAUAUCCUCUCCUUUACCAGCUGGUAGUCUCGCCCUUCAAUCAUGCCACUAACAAAUAAAAAGAGAAAACUAUGAUCAAGUUGAUAAGUCUUACGACUGUAUGUGAGGAAAGCAAAUAAUUCAUGCU